CGGGGAGUAUCGUGGUGGUUGUGGUUUAACACCCAAAUGCGGGUAGAGCAUCGCUCGACGUGGAGUUGCGUCAUACAACCGGGUUCCGUGACCCAGAUUACGGAAGAGGCUUAGAUAGUCCUCGUGCCAAACCAAGGUAGAAGUCACAACCAAACAGUCGUGUCUUUAAUUGGUACCUGCGGAAUUGUUCCAAGGGGGCGGUGAUUGACGCUUGAAUUAAUCCUAUACUAGGAACCGUGAGAUUAUGCCAUCGCGGCAGGUGCUCACGUUAAGCCCACUGACUUUCAUGUCCCUAUCUACUAUCUACGACACCAAAACGAAAUGGAACGGGCAUUUAUAAGGUUGGGGGAAAGAAGACCCUUUUGACCUGACUCUUUUCUGUGCAUGGAAGGAGACAAAAGAAGUGUAGAUAAGAGGGAGAAUAUAAAUUUCCCGUUGCUUCCGCCUUUAAAAUCCACCCUUCUUUUUUGUUCCUUACUUAUUGGAUUA
rnacentral:ncRNA from 1 species